rnacentral:misc_RNA from 1 species
AAAGUCGUAACAAGGUUUCCGUAGGUGAACCUGCGGAAGGAUCAUUAGCGAGUAUGGCCCUCACGGGUCUAUCCACUAUAAACACAUUUGUGAACCAUUCAGGGCGGUUGAGCGGUGAAAGCUUAGGCGAUUAGCAGCGAGGCCUCCCCUUGUAAACACGUUUUGAAGUCUUGAAAGUCUAGUUGAAUAAUUAAUAAAAACUUAUAACAACGGAUCUCUUGGCUCUC